AGUGAACGCUGGCGGUAGGCCUAACACAUGCAAGUCGAACGGCAGCACAGUAAGAGCUUGCUCUUACGGGUAGCGAGUGGCGGACGGGUGAGGAAUACAUCGGAAUCUACCUUUUCGUGGGGGAUAACGUAGGGAAACUUACGCUAAUACCGCAUACGACCUACGGGUGAAAGCAGGGGAUCUUCGGACCUUACGCGAUUGAAUGAGCCGAUGUCGGAUUAGCUAGUUGGCGGGGUAAAGGCCCACCAAGGCGACGAUCCGUAGCUGGUCUGAGAGGAUGAUCAGCCACACUGGAACUGAGACACGGUCCAGACUCCUACGGGAGGCAGCAGUGGGGAAUAUUGGACAAUGGGCGCAAGCCUGAUCCAGCCAUACCGCGUGGGUGAAGAAGGCCUUCGGGUUGUAAAGCCCUUUUGUUGGGAAAGAAAAGCAGCAGGUUAAUACCCCGCUGUUCUGACGGUACCCAAAGAAUAAGCACCGGCUAACUUCGUG
rnacentral:rRNA from 1 species